rnacentral:rRNA from 1 species
UACGUAGAAGACUAGUGUUAUUCAUCUUUAGUAGGUUUAAAGGGUACCUAGACGGUAUAAUUAGUCUUUAAUAGGAAACAAUUAUACUAGAGUUAUAUAUGAGGAGGUGAGUAUUUGUGGAGUAGAGUUGAAAUUCUUUGAUACCAUGACGACUGGUAAAGGCGAAAGCAACCUUUUAUCUAAUAACUGACGUUGAGGGACGAAGGCUCGGGUCGCGAACAGG